AACUCGUCCAGGCGGUCUUGUGU
rnacentral:siRNA from 1 species